rnacentral:rRNA from 1 species
GCGAGCGGCGGAUGGGUGAGUAACACGUGGGGAACCUGCCCCUAAGUCUGGGAUACCAUUUGGAAACAGGUGCUAAUACCGGAUAAUAAAGCAGAUCGCAUGAUCAGCUUUUGAAAGGCGGCGUAAGCUGUCGCUAAGGGAUGGCCCCGCGGUGCAUUAGCUAGUUGGUAAGGUAACGGCUUACCAAGGCGACGAUGCAUAGCCGAGUUGAGAGACUGAUCGGCCACAUUGGGACUGAGACACGGCCCAAACUCCUACGGGAGGCAGCAGUAGGGAAUCUUCCACAAUGGACGCAAGUCUGAUGGAGCAACGCCGCGUGAGUGAAGAAGGUUUUCGGAUCGUAAAGCUCUGUUGUUGGUGAAGAAGGAUAGAGGUAGUAACUGGCCUUUAUUUGACGGUAAUCAACCAGAAAGUCACGGCUAACUACGUGCCAGCAGCCGCGGUAAUACGUAGGUGGCAAGCGUUGUCCGGAUUUAUUGGGCGUAAAGCGAGCGCAGGCGGAAAAAUAAGUCUAAUGUGAAAGCCCUCGGCUUAACCGAGGAACUGCAUCGGAAACUGUUUUUCUUGAGUGCAGAAGAGGAGAGUGGAACUCCAUGUGUAGCGGUGGAAUGCGUAGAUAUAUGGAAGAACACCAGUGGCGAAGGCGGCUCUCUGGUCUGCAACUGACGCUGAGGCUCGAAAGCAUGGGUAGCGAACAGGAUUAGAUACCCUGGUAGUCCAUGCCGUAAACGAUGAGUGCUAAGUGUUGGGAGGUUUCCGCCUCUCAGUGCUGCAGCUAAACGCAUUAAGCACUCCGCCUG